UUGCUCUUCUAGCCCAGACAGCCACCUCACACUUCCUGUGUUACCCUGGAAGUGACGUAGGGAAUUUUAAACCGCAGGCUGAUUCGUUUCGUCUUUCCACUCUUUCAUGGCUCCGUAUGGUGAUGGAAGUCAGCCUUCGUCAGAUCACUGUUGCCUCUGAGCCUGAGCGUACUUUCUUUCUCAAGGUCGAGUGGAAAGAGGACUUUGGAGCCGGAUUUGUAGUUCUGCUGUGUGAUGGAAGCUCUGCAUGGACUGGAGAAGUCUCUGAGGAGGAGGUUUCCCAUGAGGCCCAGGAGAUGGAGAUGGCAAGGGAUAGGUAUGUGGACGACCUCCAGCUGGCUCUGACCGGCGAGGGCCCGGCGGCCCUCGACUACACCUUCCACCUGACAGCUGAGCGGGGCCAGGGGGGGAGAGGAAGCACCAUGGGACUCCACCUGUCUUACGAGAAGGUGCAGAAAGACAUCUCAGUGAGUACAGGGCCCCCCUCUUUUCUCUCCCUCCAUCCCUGCAUUUUUCCCUCACUGGCUUCACUCAGCCCAUCACAAUGAUGUCAUUCUCUGGGACCGAUCAUAAUGCUGACAUUGUGGUAAACACUCCCAUGUAGAUCUGAUGCGCGUGUCAAACACAACUGCUUUCAAGUCCUAGAUUCAGAGAGUAGUAAUCAUAUGGCAGUCGGCCUCUUUAAAGAUGCAGUCCGCGAUUCAGUUUUGCGGAAGGUGUUGAUAAUUGUACUCAACAGGCAAUCAAAUGACACCCCUCUCCUCCGUGCUCUGUUGAUUGGCUGGGAUUGUUUAUGGAUCGGUCCGAGCCACUAUGUUCAUUUCCCAUCGACAGCGCCAGGAUUGUGUACGAACACCAAACUUGUUUUGAGAGCACGCACUGAACAGACAGCUAGAGGACCGUGAGGAGCAAUUAGCUGAAUUUGACAAAAAGUGAUUAGAAAAAGUGAUUAGAAGCACAGUCUGCGCCUUUAACUAUUUAUUGUCCUGUAGCCUAUUGUAUUAAGAGUGUGCAGAAUCAUGAUAAACAGGGAUUGGGAAACUGAGGAGUUAAACACAAAUGUAUUAAUUUCUCUUUGGUGGGCUACUGCAGAUAAACAGCUCCCUUGGUGAUUGCCAGUUGUGAAUGUUUCCCAUUACCUCAUAAUGCAUCAGCUCCUUUAUUCUCAUUUUGUGUCUGAAAGCGUUACAAAAGCUCUCCCCUGGGAGCUGUUAUUUCAGUGGAGCUGCUAGCAGAGUUUAUACAUCUGUCCUUUGGACAGGAUGGACACUUAGUAUGGUCCCCACACUCAACAUGCACACACAGUCUGUGUCUCAAUCUGUUACUUAACGAUGAUAAAUCUGUUACAAACCUAUACCACGCACUAAUCCUCUCGUGCUAAAUACAUUAGGGUCAGCAACAGGACAGUAUAGGGUGUCUCAUGACACAGAUGAACACCUACCUAAUAAAUGAACCUUUGUUUAUAGGGUGAUCAAAAACGAGGACCAUUUCAAAUCACUUGAUCUGGCUUUUGUAGUCCACUCCAAAUGAGCCCUGUGAGCUUCAUCAAUGGCUAAAAAAAGACAUAAUUGAAUUUAGCCUUGUGCAACAGAAGUCCCAGAAUGUAGUCACAUUUUCCCAGUUCAUUUUUCAAGAGUCCAUUUUUAGAACAUCUUGGUUCUUAAAAGGGUGUAAAUGAAUGAAUGCCUAUUAUUCCACCUACUACUCAUUUGCAGCCACAUGAAGGUCAUCUUGACAUUUGUUUGCUUUUUUUCCCCCAUAACAAAUCUGAAGUCAUCAGUAAUGUAAGAAUUAUUGUUCUGUCUGUGGUAGGCUGGGUGUGGAUGUUCUACAGUCAUUGCUCUUACUUCCAUAGAGAUGUACAAACCUUGAUCUCUCCUCUCUUGCCUUUUCCCAGAAAAUUAGCAGAUUUGCAAGAUGUUGGCACGUGAAUGUGUGUAUCUGUGUGCACCUUGAAGGUCCCUUCUUCCUGAGGUCUCUGAUGUUCUGCCAACAGAGGGGAAGUGUUUAGGAAAUCCACAAUUUGGCUCUAAUGUGAUCAAGAGCAGUGCCCUAUAAAAGUGAGUUGUGUGUGUUGUUUCCCAGGAAAGCUGUGGUACAAGGACAUGUUUGAGAACGAGGCUUCAUCUCUCAGUGUCAUCUGAUUGUUUGUUUUGCUACCAUGGCAAAUGUAGCGUUAAGGGCCUGGGGAGCCGCCGACCGCCAUAACUCACACGAGGAGCUGGGAGAGCAGAACCUCCUCUUGUGAGGAGGAGACCAGAGGCCUCACUGCCACGGACACUCUGGGAAGCCUGACCUGCCCCAUGAAGACAGGGCUGAGGUGUCAGACAUGCUGCCAAGCCAAACAGCCCCGUGCUGGGGAGAGACAGCGGGCGAGCGUGGGGGCCUGAUCCACUACCCUCUCUGGCAGGGAGCCGUCCUGAUGUUCCUCACACCUUCAAUUUAACCGCCACAGCUGUGACCAAUCACGCCCCCGUCCCUUCGCUUGCCUUCCCGCUCUCGGUACCGCACCUGACCUCGUUAUAAAUAUUAUUGUGUGGAGUCAGUACUGAUGGCCCUCUAAGCCCUUUUUGUUAGGUUUGCACAGUAGCAAAGCAUGGCUGUGAAACAGUGACUCAGUGCAGUGGAGGGAGAAAAGCUGAGUGAGUGAAAAAAAAGGAUCUGACAUGUUAAAGAUGUUGUGUGUGUAUUUUCUUUUUUUUUUUUUUUUUGUGAAAAACUAGACCUAUAACAACAACUUAGUUUUAAAGGUAUAAUAAAAGGCAACGUUCCUCAAUAUUCCCAAGCACUCCGUGGGCCCCAUUUUAAUGGUGUGGGCUGCUUUAGGCAAUUGCAAGUGUAACCUCUGAAGUACAUCAGUAGGAGGUGGGACAAGGAAGAUUGCUUUUUCCAUGUAUGCAGUUACACUGGGUCUAUAUGAGUGGCGUGAAGUGGAAUAUGAAUAAUGAAAUUCUGUCUACUAAGCCAAUUUUGAACAUGCACAUAAUGAUUCCGUGUUUCACAGCAGAAGAGAUGAGCCUGACAAGGGUACAUCGUAUUGCUUAAUCCUCACAAAUGCCUAAUACAAGGAAACAAAACAAAUGGAUGGAUGGGAACAUUAGCUGACGGGGUACUUUUAGACUAUACUAUAAAUACAUUUUAUAGUAUGACAGACUUUAGUACUGUCAGGACCACCUGGUUGAAAUGUACUUGUAUGGACCUUCAGAAGAUGGCAGGCAACGCAGCUGUGAGCUUGCCAGUGCAUUAAAGCGUUUACAAUAUUAAAAGAGGGAACCUUUUGCUAGAGGGAAGAGAAGUGUCAGACCAGCUGUAGGCUACGUAAUGCCAUUCUCAUCUUACCAACUGCUGGCAGAAUGGCUAGAUUGUCUGUUUGAUCAUUUGAAAUGAACACAUUAGCUUCUCAUUAAAUAAUAAUGCACCAAAGUUAUUUGUGAGCAGUUAACUUGAUUGUUAAUAUUAUCAGUUAAGUUCUAGAGCUGCACUUAGCUGUGCUACAUUUGGAUGUUAUUUUGGCGUAGUUUCAUAUUGUAACCUUCCUCACUAGCUGUAUUAUGUUUUUACUUAUAGGCCUGUUGACUGUAAUGUAGCUAUUCUUGUUCUUGCUCAAGAAAAAGGUGAUUUUACAGCUAUUAGCCCAUUCAUUUGGCAGCCCAAUGUGUGUCUAGGCUAUAACAUUAUGUGCUCACAUUGCCUAAUGUGUGUCUAGGCUAUGAAAUUAUGUUCAUAUAGCUUAAUGUGUGGCUCGACUAUAACAUUAUGUCACAUAGCCAAGUCAAACGUGGAUAUGCGCGGAAAAUGGUAGUGUUUGAGAAUUGUGUCCAAUUGCUGCACUGCUGGAAGUUGUGAUUUUUAAAAAUGAAAAGGUAUACAAAAAGCACAGAUGGUGUGUCCUUGUCAAAUCACUAUAUUCGCUGCGGAAAGAUAAUUUAAAUGUGUCUCUUCUCCUCAGAGGCCUUCGGCACAUUUUUUACAGUAUGUUGCAUAAUAUCCUCACUCUCACUGAUGCAAGCUUAAACUUUAUUUUCUUUGCUCAGUUGCUAAUUUAUAAUGGGUUGUUGGCACCAUUCAGAAUCCAUUUUUUUCUCAGCACCACCCAAAGUCAUGACCGUUGAUGGUUUGGGGAUUUUUUACGUUUCCUCUCUCCGUGGCUCCAGUGUCUGACCACAGAUGAAUACCAGGGUGGGUGUGGAGGGUGAAGUGCUCGCUGAUGGAUGUAUCCUGUCCCUGUGCUGUCUUCCCAAAACGGGAGCUGGAGCCCUCUCUGUAGCCAGCUGUCUGCUCCCAUUGUCACCUCCUCUGGUUCCUGACAGAUUGGCAUGGCGCUUGAGAGUUGGAGGCUCCACUGACUGACAAAAUAGUCAGACGGGCUGUAGUUGACCUUAUUUGACCAUCGACGUUGGUGUCUGUCCAUCCAUACACCCAUCUGUCCAAGCCCAUGUCUGUGUUUAUUUGUAGUUUGUUCUGAGACUCCAGACUGACUAUUCAGUCAUGCCCAGUGUUGAGUGUGUGUAAAGUGUGCUGCAACAUCAGGGUUAACCUGUAGUGCUCUCGGUCGUGCUCUCACAGCCAGUGGGUCUGCUGCUUGUAGGCACAGGCAGGGGUUGCUGAGGAGGUCGUCUGAAAGGAGGUGAUUUAGGCCCCCGUCCUUGAUGAAGCCAGAGAGCGGCGAGGGAGCAGAGAAAGGAGGAGGAGGAGGGGGAGCCCGGGACGGGGACCGGUUGUCAGGACGAUCAGCUUUCACAUGGCAGGGAACCGUCUGAGACAGGAAGGGUUAUCGUUGGCGCCGCAGGGAGCAGCAGCAGGGGUCCUCUGAAGAGUGCGCCAGUUAGCCCCGGCCGCUUUGAUCACCGCUGUGUGGCCACUCUUUCACCGAGCUUUACAUAAGUUUAUGCACUCCUGCAAGCGCCCCGAGCCCUCUUCCCAUCUGCGCUUCAAAAGGGGAGUGUGCCAGGGACACAUAGAUGUCUCAGACUGUCUUUUUUUUCCUUUUUGGUCUCUUCCAGUAUUGCUGCUUGAAUCAACUCGUGAUUCAAGAGUGAGAGAGUUGAGAUGAGAUGUUCUGAUUUUCAUGGUUGCGUUCAUGUCCAACAUUUUGUUCCAUUUGAAUCCAAAUUUAACAAAGAAGUUGCUGUGUGCAAAUGACAUCACUUGACGUCAUUUGUACUGACAAGGCGUUGUUAUACAUUGGCAGGUGCUCACAGAGUACUUGACUUUGUUGGUCUGUCAGAUAGAUCUCACUGCCGAUAAUUCUCUUCCACUAAAAAGACAUGGGCUGUGCAAUAGUACAAUAUUGAGAGGAUGCAGUAUAUUUUGCAUUCGAGGUAUCCCUAGCAGUUACAAGUAAUUAGCAAUAGUAAUUAGCAGCAGUGUGACAGUGGUAACAUAAAUGCCAUUGAUGCUUUCAAAAUGGCUGUGCAGAAGGUGCAGUGACUUUUAAAGUGACCCUCCCCUCCCUCUCAGUCCCCUCACCGUCCAAUCUUGGCUCUUUUUGAAGUAAUCCACAGUCCUUUUUUAAACCUCAUGAGUCCAAGCUAAAUUACACUAUGGCACAGCAUUUCUUGCAGGACCUGCUUAUUGUGAGGUUCUCUGGACAAGACCUGGAGAGGCCAACACAUGUUUUGUGUUACUAUAGCGAGACGUAGUGAAUGGGAAUACACUGUUUUGUGUUACUAUAGCGAGACUUUGUUUCAGAGAAAAGGGACGUUAUGACACACUUUUAAUUUUACAGAAGUGUGGAAUAGGAAGUGUGUUUUUCAACUAUGACAUAUUUUCCUUUCUACCUCAUGCCAUUAUCUGAUCAUAAAGAGCAUUUGCCAUUGACAGUAGGUGCUGAUCAGCCUCGUUUCUUGAUGGUUUGAUAAUUGUAUUCAGUCUGCACCUGUUCUGUUCUCUCAGAGGAACCGGAGUGACUGAAAGACAAACGCAGUACAGUGCACAGUGACUUGGUUCACUCUUGGGCCCCAGUGCUGUUUUAAGGGGUCAGCUGAGGUUAUAGUCUUCAGUGGAAAUCCAUUCACCUCGGUUGUAAUAUCGGAUGUCAUGGUUGUCAUUAAAUGUGUGGUUCAAAUGUUUGCUCACUGUAGUUUACGCAGAAAGUGUUUAUAUUUAUGCUGAUGUCUUUAAGCCUUUGCAGCUGUGUGGAGCGUUUCUCAAAGCCUCAGGACAAACAGCACGGGCUGGCAACCGUGAAGGCCCCCUUCGAGCUCGCUCUCGCUCUUGCUCUCACCACCUCACUCACUUUUGCCCAUUUUUCCGCUCUGUCGUUCUUUUCAUUCCUUAGCUGCAGUGCAGUGUAGGUGGACCUCUCAUGGAAGUACAUUAGCAGGUACAUGAUCUUCAAUGUAGAGAAACUGUGUAAGAAAUGUAGAAGAAAACAUACUCUUGGAAUCAGCCUGUCUGACUAAAUCACUCUGUGUACACAUCUUACUGUGUAAAUCUGUGUAAGUUUGGCUUGGAAAGAAUGUGGGAUGAAAAAUGCUCCCUGUUCAGUUUGGACUGGACAGAUACAGUAUGAGUGUAGAAUUACUGUAGGUGUGGAACAUGUAAGCAUAGUGGAUAGAGGUACUGUGCAGCAGAUUAUAGAAGGAAAAACACCUUUUGACCCUUACUAUAUUUCUUCAGCUUUUAAACUGGUAAUUAAAGUUACUUAAAAAUGUCUCAAGGGGGCGCUACCAUCUAAAUUAAUUUAUAACUUAUAGUUUUAUAACUUAUACUUUUAUAACUUCUACUUUUCAUCUACAUACCUAUGGCAAAAAGAAGAUCUACUCUUUGCUGUGGAGCUGCAGCAUCGACCCCACAGCGAGGAGUCCUGCUACAAAGAAAUUAGUCUAAAGGUAAAAAAGAGAAUGGAGGCCAUAUGUUGAGCGUUUGCAAAACACCACUUGUGUCUUUGUUUCAUUAGUGCGAAAGGUCUUUCCGCAGGGGGAAGAUUACAGGUCCUGCUCAUUUCUCUUUUUUGUCAAGGCUGGUGAUCAGUGGGUAUUGCAAUAUAGGCCCUACCUGCAGAAACAGUUACCUCUCUGUGUGUGCUGGGUCCUUGAAGAGUGGCCUCUAAAAAGGCAUGAGCAAAUGGUCAGGUUCAAGUUUGCAAAAAGCAGGUGUUUGGCCUGCCAGGGCAGCUCAGCUUUGCUGGAAUAAAUGAAACGUAUUGACAUGAAGUGUUUGAAGACGGCAGGUUUAUUAUAGUUGAGACUUCAACCCCACUGUAACCUUCUGAAGAUUUAGGAACAGCCUGACUUCUGGUUCCCCAAACAGUUAUUAGAGCUCACUGAAAUUUCAGACAGGUGGACUGUCAAGAGCGGCCAGUCAUGCAGAGUCAGCACACACACGCACGUGGACACACGCGGACACACACACACACACACACACACACACACACACACACACACACACACACAACACACAUAUCAAGGCAUCUAUAGUGACUUUUUCCUGAAUAGUUUAUCACAUAUGAGAGUUUUCCUGUUUCAUUGCUGGAAACACACACUUCUUCAGAGAAAAAGGAAUUUGUUGAGUUGUUUUCUCAACUCUUUGAUUCCAGAGUAAUGACUAUCAGGCUAUGUUCGUGUAAGGGGGUGCCCUCCAGAAACAUUGUCUUGCUCGGCGGUCUUGUUCCCCUCACUGUUAAUUGUUUAGUGUUUGCAUGUGUUGGCACCAUCCUGGCCUUUUCAAAAAGACAUGUGGGAGCAUUACUGGGGGUGUUUGCAGCAUCAGAGUCCAAAAUGUCCCAAAACACAAAGCCUUGAGUUUAGACAGUACCUACAGUACUCAACAGUACCAAUAGACAUGUGGAUGCAUUUAAACCGGAGUCAUCAAGAGAUAAAUGGUUUUCAGUGCAAUGCCAGCAUUUACACUGACCAAAAAUCAUUUGGACAGAUGAGAACCCUCUCCCAGUGUGUCCUCAUGAAGGGCUAUUGUGUCACAUAGACAGAUACACAGUGGCAUUCUGGGAAGAUCACCACUCUUCUCCAAAUUCAUUCUUUUUUUUUUUAACAUGACCAAUGAGUUCUGUGCCUGAGCAUGAGGGAGGAUUUGUUACCCAACGUGAAGUGAUGUGAGUGCAUGCUGGCCUCCUAUCCAUGUGGCCUCCAGCCUCAGGUGACCCGCUCUGUUUGGACAGCUAUGGGGGGCGGCUGUGGGCCGCCCGUGGCAUCAGCUCCCCGUGCCACCUCGAGCGGUCUGCUGGGAGACACCCGAGCUGUUUCUCCCAGCGGUGUCUCUCACUGGGGGUACCCUGGCAUCUGUGGGAAGUCACUGAUUGAUUACAGUGACCGUCCUUAAUACUUUCCAGACCGCGUGAGGAAACAAUGCACUCUCUGUCGGGGUGGUCUCUGAGAAAUGUCACUCUCGGUCACUGGUAGGCGGGUGGCAGCGCGGCAUAUUUCCUCUUUUCCGCUGUCAUCAGGACGUUUCUUUGUUUCCAGGGUGUCCCCCUUGACUACCACACAGGGAGGACACCAACUACCCCAACCCUGACAUAGAAGGUUUCAAAAAGAGGAAUUCAGAUAUGCCACUGCAGUGGCAGUUGUGUAAAUCCGGGAUUAUUUCAACAGGUUUUGCGUACAAGUUAUUGCAUUUAGAUGACUGUGUGGGAUGACACUACACGUACGUGUAGGCAGAAGUUCAAUUGAGAGUUCAGAGGCUUCAUGCAAUAAUAUUGCGCAUUUCAACUCCAGUGAGUCAUACAGCUGUAUUAAGCUGGAAGGUGGUGACCAUUCUAGCCUUCUGCAGGGGACAUGAACCUGAUGGAAAAAAUAAUUGCUGAUGGACACAUUGCUUCCAUGAGGGGACACACCUGAUUGGCAAUGUUGUGCAGACAUCCUGUAGCCUUCACUGCACCUUGACUGGGUCAUUUUUACAUUAAAUCUGUUUGUUUAGAAGGGCUCUGAGGGUUUACAUCACAUUGGAUUUUGAUGACAUAAUGGUUUGAUUUGAGUGGACCUUCGUGAUACAAUCGCCAGUAUAAUGCAGACUGCCAAAGAAUCUGAAGAUGGCCAGACUUAUCCAGUGAUGAUGGGAAAAUGCUCAGUGUGCAAAACAGAGUUGGUCCUACUCUGUCACAUUCAUGCAACCUCAAAGCUCCCAGAAUAAUCCAGUUUAUUUAAGGACAACUUUAUCGAUAAUAGGCACAUUAUAACUUUAACACAUGAUUAUUAGUGUCACCAUUUGUCCUAGUUUUUCUUUCUGUUGAAUCGUUUUAAUUGAAGCUGAGUCAUUGCUUUAUGUGAUGAUGAGUCUGUUAAAAUCCCUUCAGCCUGACAGUCCGAUAUUAAAUGUCAUGGAAAUCAUGGAAUUGCUCGGAGUAGGAUGGAAAUCCGAGCUUCAGGCCAACCCCACGGCAUGUGUAAUGAAGGACCAUUAACUCAACUGACAUUCAGUCACAUUGGUCAGCAGUAGCAUUUGCUGUGAACUUAAGGAGAUGAUUUUGUGUGAGAGUGACCAUUAGAUGUUAGUCAUAGGAAAUGAACUAAUAUUUGGCUGAAGCGGAGAGUCCCGAGAGGCCUAGUCACCUAGGCGCGUGUCUCACGGGGCUGGCAGCAGCCACUGGAGGGUUGAGUCACUCUCCUCCAUGUGUGUUCCUGCUCUCCUGGGAUGGAACAGAAGCCCCUGUGGAAGUGUGCUGUCAUUGGAUCACUCUGCGACAGUCUGACAGGACGCACUGAGGUGCAGAGCUUUCUGGAAGUGUUUUAGCAAUGCCAUAACGUGGGAAACACUCCUAGCUGCUCAGAUCUGCCAUGCACUGUGCAUAAUUUUAGUGCACUGAAGAUUUUUAGUGUACUGAGAAGUAUAUUCAUCAGUUAAUGAUUUAAAAACAUUUAAAAACAGUGGAUGGGACUCAUAUGAGUUUGACUUGGGACCGUGCCAAGAGCUCACUGUUGGUUUGUGAAAAGAGAUUUAGGAGUUGAAAUGCAUGCCUCUUUGUUUGUUUGUUUGUUUGUCACUAGUGACAGAAUGUCACAGCAUCCUCUCUUGGAUUGUGUCCGUGUCAGAGACAUCCGCCUCCAGGCUUCCCACUGCGGAGUGGCAGCCUUAUCAUCACGCGUCCUGUCUGGAGGGGGCAGGAUGCUCUUGUGAAAGUGUCUGGCUCACGUUAUCCUCGGCGCAGGUCAUCUAUUUGCGGAUCAGGGGCCAAUCCCAGCAGCUGAAGUGUCUUGUCGGAGGCCAGCUCGGAUCACAGGGACCCUCCUGUGUUAUCUCUCGAGUGCU